rnacentral:rRNA from 1 species
GACGAACGCUGGCGGCGUGCUUAACACAUGCAAGUCGAACGAGAGCGUAGAGAAAGCUUGCUUUUUCUACAAUCUAGUGGCAAACGGGUGAGUAACGCGUAAACAACCUGCCCUACGGAUGGGGACAACAGCUGGAAACGGCUGCUAAUACCGAAUACGUUCCGAAAGUCGCAUGACUAUCGGAAGAAAGGAUGGCCUCUAUUUAUAAGCUAUCGCCGGAGGAGGGGUUUGCGUCAGAUUAGCUAGUUGGAGGGGUAACGGCCCACCAAGGCGACGAUCAGUAGCCGGUCUGAGAGGAUGACCGGCCACAUUGGAACUGGGACACGGUCCAGACUCCUACGGGAGGCAGCAGUGGGGAAUCUUCCGCAAUGGGCGAAAGCCUGACGGAGCAACGCCGCGUGAGUGAAGACGGCCUUCGGGUUGUAAAGCUCUGUUAUACGGGACGAAUAAUCUUGUGGUUAAUACCCAUGAGAAGUGACGGUACCGUAAGAGAAAGCCACGGCUAACUACGUG